GACGGGUGAGUAAUGCGUAGGAAUCUACCUAGUAGUACGGAAUAGCCAUUAGAAAUGGUGGGCAAUACUGUAUAAUCCCCGAGGGGGAAAGAUUUAUCGCUAUUAGAUGAGCCUACGUUAGAUUAGCUAGUUGGUGAGGUAAUGGCUUACCAAGGCUAUGAUCUAUAGCUGGUCUGAGAGGACGAUCAGCCACACUGGAACUGAGAUACGGUCCAGACUCCUACGGGAGGCAGCAGUGGGGAAUAUUGGACAAUGGGCGAAAGCCUGAUCCAGCUAUGCCGCGUGAGUGAAGAAGGCC
rnacentral:rRNA from 1 species